rnacentral:rRNA from 1 species
UACGUAGGGUGCAAGCGUUAAUCGGAAUUACUGGGCGUAAAGCGUGCGCAGGCGGUUGUGUAAGUCUGUCGUGAAAUCCCCGGGCUCAACCUGGGAACUGCAUUUGUGACUGCAUCGCUGGAGUGCGGCAGAGGGGGAUGGAAUUCCGCGUGUAGCAGUGAAAUGCGUAGAUAUGCGGAGGAACACCGAUGGCGAAGGCAAUCCCCUGGGCCUGCACUGACGCUCAUGCACGAAAGCGUGGGGAGCAAACAGG